CCAGCUCCAGAAGCGUAUGCUAAAGUUGUUGCAGUUAAAAAGCUCGUAGUUGAAUUUCUGGUAGGGUUGACCUGGCGUUUGGAUGAAUAUCCAUUUAGCUGUGCGUCGGCCCAGCCAUCCUCCCCUUUUUCGGAAGGGGUCGUUCACUGUAAUCAAAUCAGAGUGUUCAAAGCAGGUCGUAGACCGGAAUGUUUAUUAUGGGAUGAUAAGAUAGGACUUGGGUGCUAUUUUGUUGGUUUGUACACUUGAGUAAUGAUUAAAAGGAACAGGUGGAGAUAUUCGUAUUUAGGAGCUAAAGGUGAAAUUCUUGGAUUUCCGAAAGACGAACUACUGCGAAGGCAUUUAUCAAAAAUGUUUUCAUUA
rnacentral:rRNA from 1 species